rnacentral:rRNA from 1 species
UACAGAGGUCCCGAGCGUUGUUCGGAUUCACUGGGCGUAAAGGGUGCGUAGGUGGCGAGGUAAGUCGGAUGUGAAAGCUCGGAGCUCAACUCCGAAAUGGCAUUGGAAACUACCUUGCUCGAGGGUUGGAGGGGGGACUGGAAUACUUGGUGUAGCAGUGAAAUGCGUAGAUAUCAAGUGGAACACCAGUGGCGAAGGCGAGUCCCUGGACAACUCCUGACACUGAGGCACGAAAGCUAGGGGAGCAAAUGGG